GGGCUCACACAAGCGGUGGAGGAUGUGGCUUAAUUCGAGGCUACGCGAAGAACCUUAUCCUAGUCUUGACAUGUAUGGAUUAACCCUGUGAAAGCAGGGCCACGCCUUCGGGUGGAACAUACACAGGUGCUGCAUGGCUGUCGUCAGCUCGUGUCGUGAGAUGUCGCGUUAAGUCGCUUAACGAGCGAAACCCUUGUCUCUAGUUGCCAGCGCGUAAUGGCGGGGACUCUAGAGAGACCGCCGGCGUUAAGCCGGAGGAAGGUGGGGAUGACGUCAAGUCCUCAUGGCCCUUAUGACUAGGGCUGCACACGUCCUACAAUGGAACGCACAAAGGGAUGCGAAACCGCGAGGUCAAG
rnacentral:rRNA from 1 species